UCAGCCGCCGCGGUAAGACGAACCAAGCGAACGUUAUUCGGAAUUACUGGGCUUAAAGCGCGUGUAGGCGGACUACCACGUUGGUUGUUGAAAUCCCCCGGCUUAACCGGGGAACUGGCACCAAUACGAGUAGUCUGGAGGUGGGUAGGGGAGACUGGAACUUCCGGUGGAGCGGUGAAAUGCGUUGAGAUCGGAAGGAACSCCCGCGGCGAAAGCGAGUCUCUGGACCCAUACUGACGCUGAGACGCRAAAGCCAGGGGAGCAAACGGGAUUAGAUACCCCGGUAGUCCUGGCUGUAAACAUUGGGCACUGGGUAGUGGAACCGCCGAUGGUUUCACUGCCGCAGGGAAACCGUGAAGUGCCCCGCCUGGGGAGUAUGGUCGCAAGGCUGAAACUCAAAGGAAUUGGCGGGGGGAGCAACCA
rnacentral:rRNA from 1 species